rnacentral:rRNA from 1 species
CUUGAACGCUGGCGGCAGGCCUAACACCUGCAAGUCGAACGAGUGGCGGACGGGUGAGUAAUUUCUGGGAAACUGCCUGAUGGAGGGGGAUAACUACUGGAAACGGUAGCUAAUACCGCAUACCAUCGGAUGUGCCCAGAUGGGAUUAGCUAGUAGGUGGGGUAAAGGCUCACCUCGGCGACGUUCCCUAGCUGGUCUGAGAGGAUGACCAGCCACACUGGAACUGAGACAAGGUCCAGACUCCUACGGGAGGCAGCAGUGGGGAAUAUUGCACAAUGGGCGCAAGCAUGAUGCAGCCAGGCCGCGUGUAUGAAGAAGGCCUUCGGGUUGUAAAGUACUUGCAGCGGGGAGGCGUUACCCGCAGAAGAAGCACCGGCUAACUCCGUGCCAGCAGCCGCGGUAAUUC